UUCAUUUAUUCAUCAAAGACUCCGACGUACAGAGACAGGGUUGGUUGGUCCACCGGGGGCGGCGGAGGCCGCUCUGCCCCCGAGGCAAAAGUGGUUGGUCAACAAAGGGUUGGGGACGGGGACCCGGGGGCCCGCCAUCUCUGGUAAUGAUCCCUCCGCAGGUUCACCUACGGAGA
rnacentral:misc_RNA from 1 species